rnacentral:rRNA from 1 species
AUUGAACGCUGGCGGCAGGCUUAACACAUGCAAGUCGAACGAGCGGCGGACGGGUGAGUAAUGUCUGGGAAACUGCCUGAUGGAGGGGGAUAACUACUGGAAACGGUAGCUAAUACCGCAUACAAUCAGUUUUGCCCAGAUGGGAUUAGAUAGUAGGUGGGGUAAUGGCUCACCUUGGCGACGAUCCAUAGCUGGUCUGAGAGGAUGACCAGCCACACUGGAACGGAGACACGGUCCAGACUCCUACGGUAGGCAGCAGUGGGGAAUAUUGCACAAUGGGCGCAAGCCUGAUGCAGCCAUGCCGCGUGUGUGAAGAAGGCCUUCGGGUUGUAAAUCACUUUCAGCGAGGAGGCGUUACUCGCAGAAGAAGCACCGGCUAACUCCGUGCCAGCAGCCGCGGUAAUUC